rnacentral:tRNA from 1 species
GCUUGGGUAGCUCAGUUGGUAGAGCAUUUGCCUGCGAAAGGCAAAGGUCCCGAGUUCGAGUCUCGGUCCAGCACGCA